AUUGCAUCCAAACCCCAAAAGACAUUUGUUUUUUCUUGACAAUGAUCUUAUCUAGGGUGCAGACAGUAAAUAAAUGGGCCUUGUCGCCUUUCUGGGGCUGGUGGAAGUGCCCCAGAAAGUGAAAUGGUGGGUUCUACACUC
ensembl:snoRNA